GCUGUUGCUGAGGCUAAGCCAGGAAUAUUGGAUGUACCAUGGUUGGCGGGUGAGAGUGGGAGCUGAGAAUUGGAAGUCUUUAGCACAGUCCGGAUCUCACAUUCUCUGAGAAGCACCCAGUUCUCCCAUGAGGGGCAAUCUGGCAGACAGUGUGGGUGUGUUUUGGGGCAGGUGGCCUGGAUAGCCAAGACCCAGUGCAUGGCCGAGUCCUCCAGACCAUCUACAAGAAGCUGACCGGCUCCAAAUUUGACUGUGGCCUUCACGGAGACCACUGGGAGGACCUGGGCUUUCAGGGCAUGGUGGCUUACACUUGUAAUCCCAGCACUUUGGGAGGCCGAGACAGCAUAGUAAACAGAGACCAUGAAAAGUAAAAGAAUCACCCACUCCAGCUUCUUCAUUUUAUGGUUGAGGGCAAUAAUCUGAUGGCUUUGGCAGAAGCAACAAUUGCUCUUGCAGAAAUGUUAGAAUUGAAAGCAGAUCCCAAUGGUCCAGUGGAAGGAAUAGUAAUAGAGUCUUUCACAGACAAAGGAAGAGGUCCUGUUACUACAGCUAUAAUUCAAAGAGGAACUUUAAGAAAAGGCUGUAUUCUGGUUGCUGGAAAUUGUUGGGCAAAAGUACGCUUAAUGUUUGAUGAAAAUGGAAAAACAAUCCAUGAGGCCCAUCCCAGCAUGCCAGUGGGAAUUACAGGCUGGAGAGACCUUCCUUCUGCAGGAGAAGAAAUUCUGGAAGUAGAAUCUGAGCCAAGGGCACGUGAAGUUGUUGACUGGAGGAAGUAUGAACAAGAACAGGAGAAAGGUAAAGAGGAUCUGAAAAUAAUAGAAGAAAAGCGAAAGGAACACCAGGAAGCAUAUCAGAAAGCCCGUGAGAAGUAUAGCAAUGUGCAGUGGAAGAAGAGGUCAUAUCUACAGUAUUUAGAAAGAAAAGAACAAACAUCCUUAAAGCCAAAAGAGAAAAUGGAAAGAGAUUCAAAUGUACUUCCUGUGAUUAUUAAAGGUGAUGUUGAUGGUUCUGUUGAGGCCAUUUUGAACAUUAUAGAUACCUAUGAUGCUUCACACGAGUGUGAACUAGAAUGAGUACAUUUUGGAGUGGGUGAUAUAAGUGCAAAUGAUGUUAACCUUGCUGAAACAUUUAAUGGUGUUAUAUAUGGGUUUAAUGUGAAUGUAGGCAAAGUUAUCCAACAGUCAGCUGCAAAAAAAGGUGUAAAAAUUAAACUUCACAAAAUAAUUUACCGUCUUGUUGAAGAUUUGCAAGAGGAACUGAGCAGCAGAUUACCCUGUGCUGUGGAAGAGCACCCAGUAGGUGAGGCAUCUAUACUAGCUACCUUCUCUAUAACAGAAGGGAAGAAAAAAGUUCCUGUGGCUGUCUGCAGAGUCCAAAAGGGACAGUUAGAAAAACAAAAAAAAAUUUAAAUUAACCUGUAAUGGACAUGUAAUUUGGAAGGGUUCGUUAACCUCACUGAAACACCAAAAAGAUGACAUUUCAAUUGUCAAAACGGGAAUGGAUUGUGGUCUCAGUUUAGAUGAAGAAAAUAUGGAAUUUAAAGUGGGAGAUAGAAUUGUUUGUUACGAAGAAAAACAAAUUCAAGCCAAGACUUUUUGGGAUCCAGGAUUUUAAAAUUACAUUAAAGAUGUAAAUAACUC